ACCCCCCUGAGCUAAUCUCUCGCUCGUCUCUCCCUCUUCCCCGCAUCACUCCUCACCGCCGCCACCACCUACGGCGCCCGAUCCCGUCUGAUUCCGGCGUCCUCUGGCGGCGCCCAGCACACCACCGUGCCCCCCUCCCAACGCGCCUUCCUCCCAUCGGGCCAGAUCCGGCGCGCGCGUCCUCCAGCGGCCAAGCGCGACCCUGCCCAGCAGCUAGGGUUUGGGCCAGCACAUCGCCGGGCAUGGAGCCUCCUCCCGCUGUCUCCUUUCUUCUACAACUUCUCUUCUUCUCCUCUUGAUGUGUGCAUGUAUUGUGUCAAUGAAAGGAAUUCAAGGCCAUGGCCGGAGAGAGAGGAGCUGCUCCUAGUAUAGGACGCCAUGGAAGUUUGUCCUAGUUCUGUUCUUUUAAAUUUUUUUGUUUCUCUUCCCGAUCUAGACAUGCUGAAGGCUCUGUUUUUUGCAGGUGUUGCUCUAAUGAGGAGAAACUGCUGCUGCAGGACGUCCUCCUCCCCUCCUACGCCCACCUAGGGCUCUCGGAGGAGGCGAAGCAAUGGGAUAGGCACGUCAUGAAGGGCUGCAAGGGAGAUAUGUCCAUCGAUUGCCUCAGGUUCUUCUUUGAUCGUAGAUCGUUUUCCUAUGAUGCCGACGACAGAAUCCCAUAAUGUAUGUCCAUUGCCAAUCUAUGGAUUUUACAAAGAAGAUUGACUAAUUAAGAGCUUAGAUGUGUCUGCAGAGGCAUAAAAAAACAUGGUGAUCAGAAGGAUUUGUACGGGCUGAUAAUGUAAUUGGCCUUCUGCCCAGAUUUUACAAAAUUGGAUAAUGAAGUGCAAUACAGGACCCUCGCUAUGGAAUAAUUACUCUUUUAUAUCUCACUGUCCAGCCUUUGAUUCGAGGUAUGAGGAUGUAGGUACGAAGGAGCAUCUAAGCAGUUACUUACACAAAGGCUUGGGCACUCUCAUAAAUGGCUCCAUUUUUGUUUACCUUCUACUCAUCUGUAACAAAGAUGAUUUCUCCAUUGCUGUUGAGGAUACAAAGAUCUAGCUCGACUGGACUGUAGAUCACGGACAAUUUAGUCUUGGCCCUUAAUUAGGAUGGCUAAAUUACAUUUGAGUAUCAUUUGAUGGAUAUUUGCUAUGAGAAUUAUGAAUUUUAUGAAUCUACAUAUUAUAUGUAUGGUUUUGAAUAUUGUAAUUGAAUGCCUGUAUUUUUUUUACGGUUGCAAUAGGCUAUUACCACAACCCA